AGCCAAACGACAACAAGAUUCUCAGAGGGCGGAGCCAGAGAGCAGUGAUUGGUCAGACCAUAGAUAAUAUAGAAGACAGCGCGCUAGCGGAUCUAGUCUGUGUUUAUCUAUGGUCGGCAGGUCUGGUAGCAUCUCUGACUGCUGUUGAUCUUGUUUUUGGAGUAAAACACGGUGGAAGCUGAAUUAGUGAGGAUGACUCCUGCUCCUGUCAUCUCUAAGCUCCUCACACAUCUUUACCUGCACAUGAGGAAAAUCACUCCUGUAGAAUGCAGUGGUUCAUCAGAACCUCUGGGGAUGUCCUGUGGAUUCUGUGGAUCCUGUGGGUUGCAGGGUGGGUCCUACCUAGACCAGGCUGAUCCUGGACCAUCCCACAGAUGCUCAAUCAGAUCUGGAUGUGGGGAGUGUGGAACCCAGAUGCACAAUGAGGGACGUCUGCAGAGACUGAGAAAGAGUCUCACCACAUCCUGACAUGAGGAAAAAGACUUUAUUGAAGACUACAAUGAGAAAAACUAUCAGACAGCAGACGGCUGCAUUCAAGUCUGUAGCUGCUGAAUUCAUGGAUGAAUCAUCUGGCACUAGAGAGGAAGACCAUCAAACAUCCACGUCAGCUGAUGGAGGUCCAAGAGUCUCACCCAACAAACAACCUACAGAGUGAAGACCUCAAUCUGAUUGGACGGCCUCCUAUUCAGCCACAUGUGUGAACAAAUGCCUCUAAGUUGAUUUGUUUUCUAAAAUAAAUCUAGUUUGAGUCCUAAUCUAUGCCUGUGUGUUUGCUUCUUUACACUGCUGUUAACAGUUUAGGCUGUUAGAUUGUUCCAGAUAAGACAAGUACAAGAUUCUUCAGAGCCGUUCUACCACGAGCCUGACAGGAAGAACUCCAACAGCUACUGAAUGUUCCUGUGGUUCCCUCAAGGCUACAGGAGGAGCCCUACGAGGACGAGCCGGUCCACCUGAUGGUGGCCAGUCGCUGCGGUUCAAAGCCAACACCGACUACGUGGACUUCUACUGGACCACACGGAGGCCUUCAAACCGGACCAACAAGUUCAGCGACUCCCCGACUCGUGGGUCUGAGGACGCCGCCGAGCCUCGGUCCAGCCGGCCUCCUGUCUGUGGGUGUUUGAGUGCUGAGAGGUUUGUGGAUGCAUGUGAACGUUCUGUGUUGAAACAGCAGCUUUUGACUCAGUAACGCCAGGAAAAACUAAGAGCUCCUUUAUUUGUGACUUCCACUAAACAAACUGAUGAAAAUAAGUUUACCAGGAUUCUGACUGAUAACAGAUUAUUAAAUAAUGAAAAUAAUCAUUUAAAUAUUCCUUUAAACAAUCCUUUUAGGUCUACAUUUCCUUUACACUGACUUCUUGGUAUAUGUACAAGUAUUUUGGGUGGAAUAUACCAUUAAGCCUAAUGUUCAAG
ensembl:lncRNA